GCUGCGCGCGGCGCGGCGCGGCGCGGCGGGGAGGGGCCCGGCCCGGCCCGGCCGGGGCGGCGGCGCCGGAGCCCUGGGGCGGCGCGGGGGCUCCGGCUCGGCCGCUCCGCGCCCUGCGCUGCGCUGCGGUGGGCCCGGGUCGGGCAGUGCGGCCGAGCCCGCCUGGGUCGGGCCGGGCGCCGGGGGACCCCUGGUCAGCGGCGAGCUGGGGUUCGCCUCGGGCUCAUCGGGGGUUUUCCUUCGCUCCGUUUCCUCGGGAGGGCUCGGGCAGGCCGGGAAGGAGGGCGGGAACGUGCCCGCGGUCCGGGCAGGCGGAGGAAGAUCCGUCUCCGAGCAGGCACGUGCUGCUGCGGCGUUGCCCGAAAUGCUCCCGGGCUGGAAACCCUCCGAGCUGGCCCUGACCCACCCGGCUGGCAUCUGCUCGAGGGCAGGAAGGCUCUGCAGAGGGACCUGGACAGGCUGGAUCGACGGGCCGAGGCCGACUGGACGAGGUUUAACAAGGGCAAGUGCCGGGUCCUGCCCUUGGGUCACACCAGCCCCAGGCAAGGCUCCAGGCUUGGGGCAGAGCGGCUGGAACGUGCCCGGCGGAGAAGGCCCUGGGGGUCAUGCCGUGAAAGGGCGCACUAAGAAAACCUGAUGCCCUGAGCACGUUACUUCUGGAGAAACGCUUGGCCUCUGCAGCUCUGUGUGGGACACUGAAAGGCAGUUGUGGACGCAGUCUGUUGGAGUCUUUGAGGGCAAGCAGUGUUUCCUGGGGCAGACAGCAGUGGAUCUCGUGGGAUGGCUGCACCGAACGGAGAUGGACGAAGUUCUGGCAUUCCUCAAACCCUGACAGCGCGAAUGUGGUGGAAUAAGUGCCGGCGCAGGUCCUGAUCCUCGUCUUCUGUCGACCCUCAGCACGUCCAGCGUCCCGUUUUCGGAAGAAAGUGUGUUGGAUUUCAAACCCUUGGGCAGGACAGGAGGAGGCGGCCUUCUCGGGUCAGUGAUGAGUGUUGGCAUGUAUUAUCUGAUCUAAAGGUGAUGUCUGUCACCACUUUAGCUCUAGAAUUACUCUGAGACCUGGGAAACUCCAGUUUCCUUAGACUGUGACCGUGGCGCUUUUUCAACCUGGAGUCAAAUGCCUGUCACGUUCUAAGGCAGCGUAAGGAGAAGGGGGCGCAAUCUGAGCUUCCUUCCGUUUACGCGCUAGGGAGGUGACAUGAGCUAGGAGUAAAAACAUAAAGCCAGCUGGGGCCCAAGACCAGCGCUGUUGUGUUCAUAUGACAUUGUGUCCCUGGAGCGUACUGGCUCACGUCAGUGCUACCUCAGAAAUCUUUGUAUUCGCUACUCAGACCUCGAUUUUUCCUCACUGUGCAGUUUGCGUCUAAUCGUAGAAUGCCCUGAGCUGGAAGAGACCCACAAGGACCGUCAAGUCCAGCUCCCGUCCCGGCACAGGACAAGCCCAAAUUCACACCGUGCCUCUGAGGGCGUUGUCCAAGUGCUGCUUGAAUAUCGCCAGGCUGGUGCCGUGACGGCCUCCCUGGGGACCCUGUUCCAGGGCUCCACCACCCUCUGGGGGAAGAACCAGUUCUUCUCCUUAACUAUACACUUUAUUGCCCAGUUCUCUGCGGCUUCUGAGGUGGGAUGUUUGCUUUGAUCAGUCUCUCAGCUCUCCUCAAGGAAAUAGUGGUAAAACAAGUGCUUCUCUAUCUCUCAGUUCCCGACUCUGGCCAUCAAAUUCUGUUUUGCCGAGCUCACGUAGUUCGUUCUUGUGGCUCAGCGGAGAAUUCCAAAAGGAGCAUUUUCUUCAGGAUAUCACUGCAUUGAUGUUAAGGAGUUUUGUUCCUGAUUUCGGUGACACGGCGGCAGCCGGGCAGAUGGCAGGCCCGGGUUGCGGGUCGAGCAACAAGCCUUGGGCCAGCUCUUCGGGGCUCCCAGGCUUCGGAGCUCCUCCCUUACUGUCCCGGUAGUGGGGCCGGAGGGGCGGAGGGAACAAUUUGGCCUAGCACCUUCCCGGCACCCAGGCUGUUGCCGAGUUUCUGUCGAACGGGUGUCGAGAGCCUGUGUGACUGGCCUGUCGGAAACCCCGUUCCUCCGCCCGUGCGCGUCCCCGUUCUAGAUCUCGCUGCUCUCUGUUGGGGGUCCUUCUGUGUCACAUUGGUUACUGUCGACGGGGAAGUUCUGAGCGUUUCGCCCCUCGUUAUUCUGUUCUGCCCUUGCCAAUUUGAGCUCCCUGACCCGUGUUCCCUUCUGACGGACCACCGCCUCUGGGCUUCCCAGAAAGGCUGUCUGGUUCCGCAGCCCUUGGGGUGCUGCCGUCAUGGGCUCCACCAUCUAACGCUAAGGCCAGGCUCUUCGCUCCCACAGGCGCUGCAUUUUGCAAGCCUUUGUUAUUCC